UUGCUUCAAAAGAUUUUGGAACUUCCAAUGGUCGAACAGAAUUAUUUAUCUGCUUGCUAUUUCUUCCCUUUCUUAUUUCUAUCGCACACGAUCCAUGGCAGACACAACACAAGGUUGAAAUGGACAAACGGGAUGGUAAGUUUGGUCCUCAAGUUAUGGCAGUGCCACCUGUUCAGCAAAUGUCACGCCUUGAUCAGGCUUAUCCACCCACCGUUGGAUAUCCUCCUCCUGCAUACGGGCAACCUGCUGGUUAUCCACCUCCUCAAGCUCAAGGCUAUCCUCCUCCUGGUUAUCCGCCUGCUGGCUAUCCGAAGUGACCUCCUUCCCAGUCUUGUCAACUCCUGCACUUCAAAUUUGG
rnacentral:lncRNA from 1 species